UACAGAGGGUGCUAGCGUUAAUCGAAAUUACUGGGCGUAAAGGGCGCGUAGGCAGUUCGCAAAGUCAUAGGUGAAAUACUCCGGCUUAACCGGGGAAAGUCCUCUGAUACUAGCAAACUAGAGUUCGAGACAGGAGAGCGGAAUUUCCGGUGUAGCAGUGAAAUGCGUAGAUAUCGGAAGGAACACCAGUGGCGAAAGCGGCUCUCUGGCUUAAAACUGACGCUGAGGCGCGAAAGCAUGGGGAGCAAACAGG
rnacentral:rRNA from 1 species